rnacentral:rRNA from 1 species
GACGAACGCUGGCGGCGUGCUUAACACAUGCAAGUCACGGGGGCUCGCAAGGGCAACCGGCGAACGGGUGCGUAACACGUGAGCAACCUGCCGAUCUGAGGGGGAUAGCCGGCCCAACGGCCGGGUAAUACCGCAUACGUUCUCGAGGCCUCAUGGCUUUGGGAAGAAACCUCCGGGGCAGAUCGAGGGGCUCGCGGCCUAUCAGCUAGUUGGCGGUGUAAUGGACCACCAAGGCGACGACGGGUAGGCUGGUCUGAGAGGAUGGCCAGCCACAUUGGGGACAGAGAGACGGCCCAGACUCCUACGGGAGGCAGCAGUGGGGAAUCUUGCGCAAUGGCCGAAAGGCUGACGCAGCGACGCCGCGUGUGGGAU